rnacentral:pre_miRNA from 1 species
GAUCUACUCCCUCCGUUUUACAGUACAUGCAUUCCAUUUGUCAAAAUAUAGAUGUUUUUAGACAUGUUUUAGUAUAUAGGUACAUUUAUUUUUAGACAAAUGGAAAUCAAGUAUUUUAAAACGGAGCGAGUAGGUU